rnacentral:piRNA from 1 species
CUUGUAAACCAGUGAUUCCCAAGUCGU